rnacentral:rRNA from 1 species
ACCUUCGGGUCUAGUGGCGCACGGGUGCGUAACGCGUGGGAAUCUGCCCUUCGGUUCGGAAUAACAGUUAGAAAUGACUGCUAAUACCGGAUAAUGUCUUCGGACCAAAGAUUUAUCGCCGAGGGAUGAGCCCGCGUAGGAUUAGCUAGUUGGUGAGGUAAAAGCUCACCAAGGCGACGAUCCUUAGCUGGUCUGAGAGGACGACCAGCCACACCGGGACUGAGACACGGCCCGG